AUCCAAACAGUCAUCAACGAAUCAAGCUUGACAGAUAGUAAUAUCUGAUACUGAGGAUACUCUACCUGAAUACAAUGUGACUAAGUCCACCUACUACAGUAAAUAUACACACCUUUAUGCACCAUGUGUUGAAGAAGAGGAUGAAGAGCCAGUUCCUGUAAAUUUGGGGAAUUUAUCAGACACAACCAUAGAGGAGGUAAACAUUACACUACCUGAUGUCAUUGCAAAGCUGUCA